GGCGAUGAUACGUAGCCGAACUGAGAGGUUGAUCGGCCACAUUGGGACUGAGACACGGCCCAAACUCCUACGGGAGGCAGCAGUAGGGAAUCUUCCACAAUGGACGCAAGUCUGAUGGAGCAACGCCGCGUGAGUGAAGAAGGCUUUCGGGUCGUAAAACUCUGUUGUUGGAGAAGAAUGGUCUGGUGAGAGUAACUGUUGUAGGCGUGACGU
rnacentral:rRNA from 1 species